UUUUGCCGAAAGGCGAGAGUGCUUUAUUGAGCCAAGUGACAGGUGUUGCAUGGCCGUCGUCAGCUCGUGUCGUGAGAUGUUUGGUUAAGUCCAUCAACGAGCGCAACCCUUAUGGUCUGUUGUAUUUUUCAGGCCAGACUGCCCCGGUAACGGGGAGGAAGGGGGGGAUGAUGUCAGGUCAGUAUUACCCUUACAUCUGGGGCUACAAACACGCUACAAUGGCCGGUACAAAGGGCAGCUAACCCGCGAGGGGGAGCAAAUCCCAUCAAAGCCGGUCUCAGUUCGGAUUGCAGGCUGAAACUCGCCUGCUUGAAGUCGGAAUCGCUAGUAACGGUAGGUCAGCUAUACUACCGUGAAUACGUUCCCGGGUCUUGUACACACCGCCCGUCAAACCAUGAAAGUCACCAAUACCUGACGUGUUGCCUUCGCGCAGCCCUAAGGUAGGGGGGAUGAUUGGGGUUAAGUCGUAACAAGGUAUCCGUACGGGAACGUGCGGAUGGAUUACCUCCUUU
rnacentral:rRNA from 1 species